AUGUGCCCUACCUUCGUUUGUGUUAAUUGUGUCAUUGUCUUCAUCUGUGUCUAGCAAGUUAUUUCCCAUUUGUAUUUAAGUUCUAGUUUGAUCCCGUGUAAUCGUCGGUUAUCGUCUUUAAUAUGCGUGUGGUUUUUGUCCUGUCUGCCUGUCUGUAAAGAUAUUGUUCACUUCGUUCUGAGUAGAUUAAAGUGUUUACGUUUACCUUAUGCUCAUUGCGUGCACUCUUGCUAACCACACCGUGACAAGAACUCAUCGUUUUAGCUUGACCACAGAGGAAGUAUCUUUUAACACUAUUUUGAGAUUAGUAUGCUGUUGAAUGAUGCUAGUUAGUACUACUGAGUAGGCGAUAAGUUUUACUUAGAGAAGAUAUGAGAGCAAAAGACCCUAUUGGCGAAUGGUUUCGCUACUUCUUGUUCACUGUUUGGGUCAUCGACGUUGUCCUGAUAUUUUGGAUAUAUCACUUAAAAACAAGUUUGAAAGAAAAAAGAAAAAAUUGGAAAAUGGACGGAUGUCAAGACGAGGACUAUGUCAACAUGAUGCCAGUGGUCUUACAUGCGAGCAAGCCAGAUGAAACAGUACUUGAAUAAUUCAUGUAAAAUUGCUCUCAUUCAAAAAUGACAGCUCAACAAAAAAAAAAAUGAUACGCUGUAAUGGAGUGUGCUAAUAUAGAAAUGAUUCAUUAAAUGAAUUUAUGUUCACCACUUUUAAAUGCACUGUCAUUUUUGUGUGGCGAUCCGCACUAAAUCUGAGUAGAUCCAGCUUUAUAAUGAGUUGCUUUUCUAAUAAAAGUACCUUUGCACUGUAAAAUGAAAACCUC